UCUCAUUCGAAGUCGAGACUGCAGGACUGCUUUCUCGGAAAGCUUUCGAGAUAGGUUUUGAUAAACGUUCUCUGAAGCACCCAAAUCGUGUCCAAAAGAAGGUCAUUAUUUCUUAUCAGACGUAUCUCAUCUUUUCCCUUAAAUACACUUCACAUAGCGCAGGUUUUUGGAAAAAUAAUUGCUCCUGGGAGAACGUGAUGAUAAACUGCAAUUGUGUGCCCAGCUUUGGCAGCCGCCCCGAAGAUGAGGUGUGCUGUGAUGGACUCACACUUCACACCACAAAUAACAGCCAGCCCUUCCUGUGCCGCUCCUGAUCUGUGGCGUUUUUCUCCGUGUGAGAUGAAAAACCAAAAACUUGAUAGAUAACAUCAGAGAGACAGAACGGCGGUAACGCACAUUGUCGCGCUGGUUUGGUGUCAAAGCUCUACAGCCACCACUACAGAUCAGAAAGCAGUUCCACGAUGAGAAAAGAUCGCUUUUGGAUACCUCACCCCGCAGUCACGGGGGAUUUCGGGAGCUGAGGGUCACUUCCAACUCAAAAUAUGAACAGAUGCUGCUGACAGAGAUUCACUGGAAUACGGAUGAAGAGUAGGCACCCC
ensembl:lncRNA